AUUGAACGCUGGCGGCAGGCCUAACACAUGCAAGUCGAGCGGAUGAAGGGAGCUUGCUCCUGGAUUCAGCGGCGGACGGGUGAGUAAUGCUUAGGAAUCUGCCUGGUAGUGGGGGAUAACGUCCGGAAACGGGCGCUAAUACCGCAUACGUCCUGAGGGAGAAAGUGGGGGAUCUUCGGACCUCACGCUAUCAGAUGAGCCGAGGUCGGAUUAGCUAGUUGGUGGGGUAAAGGCCUACCAAGGCGACGAUCCGUAACUGGUCUGAGAGGAUGAUCAGUCACACUGGAACUGAGACACGGUCCAGACUCCUACGGGAGGCAGCAGUGGGGAAUAUUGGGCAAAGGGCGAAAGCCUGAUCCAGCCAUGCCGCGUGUGUGAAGAAGGUCUUCGGAUUGUAAAGCACUUUAAGUUGGGAGGAAGGGCAGUAAGUUGAUACCUUGCUGUUUUGACGGUACCAACAGAAUAAGCACCGGCUAACUUCGUG
rnacentral:rRNA from 1 species